UGACGGGGCCCGCACAAGCGGUGGAGCAUGUGGUUUAAUCGAAGCAACGCGCAGAACCUUACCAACCCUUGACAGUGGGAAGUUUGGGCUCGGGAGACUGGGUCCUUCAGUUCGGCUGGCUUCCACACAGGUGCUGCAUGGCUGUCGUCAGCUCGUGUCGUGAGAUGUUGGGUUAAGUCCCGCAACGAGCGCAACCCUCGCCUUUAGUUGCCAUCAUUCAGUUGGGCACUCUAAAGGAACCGCCGGUGACAAGCCGGAGGAAGGUGGGGAUGACGUCAAGUCCUCAUGGCCCUUACGGGUUGGGCUACACACGUGCUACAAUGGCGGUGACAGAGGGAUGCAAUACCGCGAGGUGGAGCAAAUCCCUAAAAGCCGUCUCAGUUCGGAUUGUUCUCUGCAACUCGAGAGCAUGAAGUUGGAAUCGCUAGUAAUCGCGGAUCAGCUCGCCGCGGUGAAUACGUUCCCGGGCCUU
rnacentral:rRNA from 1 species